GGUUGCAAUCAUACCAGCACUAAUGCACCGGAUCCCAUCAGAACUCCGCAGUUAAGCGUGCUUGGGCGAGAGUAGUACUAGGAUGGGUGACCCCCUGGGAAGUCCUCGUGUUGCAACCCC
rnacentral:rRNA from 1 species